CCGCGGGGAGCGCGGAGCUGCGCGGCCGCGGGGCGCAGGUGGGCCCCGCCGCCCCGUCACCCUCCAGGAGCAGGUGAGCCACUGACUAACGCACAUUGUGCUCUCGGCGACUCCACUGUGCGUGUGACAGCGGCUAACCUGCUCCUCGGACAUCGCUGUGCGGCCGCCUCACGUCGCCUCGUCCGCAUGACGCCUCUCGCCCCGAGCGGGACACGAGGUGCAGCGACACGCCGAGGAACUCCCACCCGUCCGUCUGUCCGUCCGUCCGUCCGUCCGCCCGUCUGCUGCCUUGCCAUCGCCCCGUGAGCGAGAGGUGGGAUGCCGGUAGGGCAGAGCCGCAUGGCGCGGGCGGCAGAGGGCCGAGGAGGGAUGGAUCCCCCCUUUGUGGCCCAGUUUGUCUCCGAAGUCAAUAAAUGCUUACGGACGCCGUACCGAGUUAAAGGGAUGCUUUAUCCCGGCCGGUGACGUCUUGAUACCCAGUGACUAACUGAACUGCUAUUGCCAAGGGUGUGUUAAUAGAAGAAACCAUGCCUGGUAUUGCCCUGGAUGAGUCACCUUUAAAGAGAGACUCUGUAAUCUGUUAAAUGAGAAGCAGCACCGAGCUUUGCUUUCCUUCUUUGCCGUUUGCUUCCCAUCGCACCCCGCACCUUUGCUCGCUCUUUCCUGCUCCCACCCACGGGGCUGCCUGUCCCUCUGUCACCGUGGUGUCGCACAGCUGAGGAGCACAGCACAGGGGCUGCUCAGCGGGGAGCACAGCUGUCGCUGGGAGUGGAGGAAGUGACGAGGCAAAUUGCUGCUCGAGCAAAGUUCUCUCUUUCGAUUUUGAACCCAUAAAGAAGCCGGGUGGUUGGAAAGCGUCCUGCUAGGUUAUGGCAUGGCUUCAUCUCCUGCUUAAACUAAUUGCGAGCAGACAUUGCCCUCUGAGGUUUCCAGAAGGGCCUGGGUAGUCUCUGUUACGUUUGCGUUACUUGCAUGUAACCCUGGGCUGUUGCAGCAAUGCUGUCAGUAAGCACUUAACCGUACAGAAAGGCAGCACAACAUCCUUCUUGCAGACCGAGUCUCCCACACAGAAGUGCUGCCCGUCCCCAUCUCCCCUGCCUGUAUCCUUUGACGUUUCUCCUGCCGGGUCCCAGAGGAGGAAAAUCUGGUGCUCUGCAUGCCUCGUGCAGAGCGAGUGAGUCAAGGUUGCUUCUGCACACCAGAAAGCUGCCUGAAUUUACCAAAGCUGCUUGUACAAUUGUGUGUAGCUCGGUGCCUCGCUGCUGGGGAUCCCGCUGGCAGAAAUGGCUCUGCAGGUCACUCUGAUGAGGUUGGUCCUGCUUCCCAUCAGGCAGCACUUGGUAUGAAAACUUGUGACUUCCCUCUACCUCCAAGACCAUCCUGUUUGGCUCCAGUAAGCAAAGGCAAGGGAUUGAAUGAAGUUUGUUUGUGUUUCCUUUUUUUUUUUUUUGGUGUGCUUCCCUCCAGUAAGUGGGGGAAACGUAUCACUGAAUUUCUGUUUUUAACGUUCUUUUGCAUGAUUCAAAACUAACCUACUGUGCUGUCACCUGAAGUCUUCAAUAAACAGUGCAAAACCAGUGUCUGGAUGCUCAUUACUAUAACUCGGGGCUUGGCAGAUUACGGAGCAGGUCCUUAAGGUGGCCUUUGGUAAGAGGAAGCUGUGCCUGCUCAGGCGUGGCUGAUGUGUGUUGCAUGCUGAGCGCUUCCCAUGUCUCAUUUUGCCUCUAGAGCAAAAGAAGGUGGACUUGAAAAGGAGAGUGGGAGGUGUCGUUGGGACCUGGCUGUCCCUCGAGCCCAAUUCCCCACCACUCCCACAGCAAUGCCUUCACCGCCUGCCCUAGCCCAGGAGCCCUUUCUAAAUACAAAACCCUGCAGCUGGGGCUGCUCCAAUGAGCGCUCCUGGACAAUGAGAAAAUACA
ensembl:lncRNA